AGUACUCAUCGAUAACGGUCUCAAAUUAAAUGCCAAAAAAACCCCGUUUUUCCCAGGACCCGCGGGAACUUCAGGCUUUUUCACCUGCCGAGAUGUCCCCGGCGUCCUCUUUAUUUCUACCCUUACAACGAAUCCGUAAACGUCCGCGUUUCCCUUUAGUUCCCCCCCCCCCCCCCCCCCCCCCCCCCCCCCCCCCCCCCCCCCCCCCCCCCCCCCCCCCCCCCCUUUUUUUUUUUUUUUUUUUUUUUUUUUUUUUUUUUUUUUUCUCCAGCAGAAUCCACCAGCUAGGCAGCGUCAGCCUUUCCCGUGCUGCACGGUUGGUGCUGCCGGGGCGGGCAGGGGCGGCGGGGCCGCGGGGUUCGCCCUCCCGGCCCGGCCGUAGGAGGCUCCGCCGCUGGGCUGUUCAUGCGAGCGGUGUGCGGAGACACGGCGUGUGCGCUUUGUGUGCGUUUUGUGUGAGCUUUGCGUGCGCUGUGUGCGCGCUGUGUGUGCUCUUGUGUGCGCUGUGUGCGCCGAGAGCGGGGCCGCCUCCCGGCCCUGCGGGGUUCCGGCCCCGGCUCGAUGCCGCUGUCCUCUCGAUAGUUAUUUGCUGCCCCCCGGCUCAGCGGAGAGCGGGGGCUGCCGUGCCAAGGCCGAGACGAGCCAGGCCGUGCGGAGCCGCCCCCACCCCGAAAGCUCGGCUUCUCCGGGGGCCAGCCGGAGUGCAGAGGUUGGGGGCGGGAGGGACGGUGGGGCUGGGCAAGGGCCGGAGGAGCGGGCAGAAAGGAGGGAUCGCGGGAGGGACGAGUGGAGAGAUGCUGGCGGAGGGUCACCGCCGCCGAGCAAACAGGGAAAGGAGCGCUGGAGGAGCGCCGCGGCGGCCGCAGCGCGCCCGCCCGCCCCGGCUCCCCCCCCCCCCCCCCCCCCCCCCCCCCCCCCCCCCCCCCCCCCCCCCCCCCCCCCCCCCCCCCCCCCCCCCCCCCCCCCC
rnacentral:lncRNA from 12 species